rnacentral:rRNA from 1 species
AACUAAGAGAGUUUGAUCCCAGCUCAGGAUGAACGCUAGCGGUGCGCUUAACACAUGCAAGUCGUGCGAUCGAGCUGGACUGACCACCCUUCGGGGUGCGAUGACCGGUGACGGAGCGGCGGACUGGUGAGUAACACGUGGCUAACCUACCCUCUUGACGGGGACAACCAUUCGAAAGGAUGGCUAAUACCCGAUGUUGUGUGAGGUCGAUGGACCUUGUACCAAAGGCGGUUCUGCCGUCGCAAGAGGAGGGGGCUGCGCCCUAUUAGCUUGUUGGUGGGGUAAUGGCCUACCAAGGCAGUGAUGGGUAGUUGGUCUGAGAGGACGACCAGCCACAUUGGGACUGAGAUACGGCCCAGACUCCUACGGGAGGCAGCAGUGGGGAAUCUUGGACAAUGGGCGCAAGCUUGAUCCAGCCAUGCCGCGUGAACGAUGAAGGCCUUAGGGUUGUAAAGUUCUUUCGCUGGGCCCGAUGCCGCAGACAAAAGGCACACAGGUGGGCCGUCGGGAAUUCUGGCGGGUCUUCUCGGUUCUCUCCGACACCAUGGCGCUGGAAGGGGUCAUCUGGCAGGCGUUGAUGUUCGGCGCCGCGAUGGUUUUCGAGGUGAAGCUGGCGCCCGAAAUCUCCGCCCUGCGCGACG